rnacentral:siRNA from 1 species
UUCAAAGUGAUGCAUAGAUUC